ensembl:snoRNA
UGCAGCCUUGUCUCAUUCAGUGCUUCCUCUAAAAUGGACCGCACUGGCCAAAAUGGCUGCCACAGUGAACCUGUAGUUCAUGGGCCUCAUGUACAUUUUCCAUGGAUGUUGGGGAUAAAUUUGUACUACUGACAAUU